UGGUUUGAUAUGGCUUCAAUAAAAUAUAAAAUAGUAAAAUUAUUGGAGAUGAGUAAUGGAUUCCUAUAAUAGUUAAAUACAUAAAGGGAGUUUCACUUAAAAUGUUACUAAAUAUAUCCGUUGACUCAAUGAACGGAUAAACCAGAUAUUAACUUGUUUACUUAACAAAUUUUGUUAAGUUGGAACUCUUAAAUCCAUUUAAAUAUAUAUCCAGAUUGUACAAUGAAUGUACCUUACCAUUCUUAAAUUUCAUUUCAUUUGUUUGAUUCUUGAAUUGAUAUAGAUAUAUAAUCGGCCAAUUGCACUUCAGAUUUUCACCACCACAGUUUCACGAUUUGUCAACUUUGGUCCCUCGGCUUAGAGUUGGCCCAACUCCUGCUGUUACGCUUAGCAUUUGUGACCUAACCUUUGAUUACCCUAAACAACAAAUUCCAUCUUUAGAUUCAAAGCACCAGAAUGGAAUUGGAAAAGUAAAUUCAACACACCUUCACAAUGCUGAUUGAAGAAAUCCAAAUCUCAUUUCGUUGCCAGGUAGCCAUACAGCUGUCGCUUGCCACCUGGAUAAAACAGAUUCCGGAUGUGAUCCCACACAUCUCGGUAAAAAGAAGGAAAGUAUAUCUUUUUCUUGCCUUUUAUAGCAUUCUAUUGGUUUUACAAAUGUAGCAAAAGAACGAAUUGGUUUUUUUUUAACUAUUUUUUAUCAAACAGUGUUUUGUUUAGAUUUUAAUGGUAAUCAUAAAAAGAAAACCAACGUAUUAUCACACAUUUAAUUCAAGUUGGAACUUAUCAGCAAAUAAAAUGGGGGUAAAAUGGUCAUUUCAAAAUCAAAAGAUUUACCAUCUGCUUUUCACUAUAGGAAACCUGUAGUAAGCGUGGAAAAAUAUAGUAAAGGAGAAUCUGGUUCAAGCAUUUCAUCAAGCAGUUGGGAUACAUUGUGAAACUCAACUUCAAAACUCAAUAUCAACUGGGUAGGGCAUAAUUAAAUUUCAUGUGUAAUUGGAGACCUUUUCUAUUAAACUGUAAUCAAUUGAAAGAGAACAAUUAACUUACAAUCGGUUUCUUCAGAUAUCUAUUAAAUGAGCCCAAUUCCCAAAUGCCAAAAUUUCUGGAAAAGUUCAGUGAUAUUGAUCAAUUUUUCUUGCUAGAUUCAAAUUAUAUCAGAGGUCGGUUGACCUCACUCCUCCCCAUCAUUCAUAUAUUCUGGCAUUUGUACCAUAAAUCAACAAUCAAAAAAAAAUUAGGGUUUCAGUUGAGGAGAAGUUAAUCAGGAAACUGAAAGGUUUGAUGAAGAAGGGAAAAGAAGAGGGAAGCAGCGACCAAGCAAAGAAAAAGUAGCGAACAACGCUUACUCUCUGACAUCAUCGUCUUCUUCGACUGUUAGCAAAUUUCUAGAUAUGUGUUUGUUGCAAUACGCGUCGACAUGAUGACGAAAGCAGACAGAAAACGUGACAUCGAGUUUGCCGGUGAUGGAGAGGGAGACGGUCGCUUUUUUUGAAACUGGAAGGAUGGAUUGAAGCGGCGAUGUGGAGAAAACUAAGAUAAGCGGUGGCACUAAUAUCUAAAAGACGGUGAAGGGAGCAGAGAUAGAAGAAGCUUCGAGGAGGGGUCUUUAUUUCAGGCGACGGAUAGUUUGAA
rnacentral:lncRNA from 1 species